rnacentral:rRNA from 1 species
CAAUAGCGUAUAUUAAAGUUGUUGCAGUUAAAAAGCUCGUAGUUGGAUUUCUGGUGGGAGCGACCGGUCGGCGCUUAACGGCGUGUGCACUGGAGUUGUCUCUUGCCAUCCUUGAGGAGAACGUGUCUGGCAUUAAGUUGUCGGGCUUGGGAUCCUCAUCGUUUACUGUGAAAAAAUUAGAGUGUUUAAAGCAGGCAUUUGCUGUGAAUACAUUAGCAUGGAAUAAUAAGAUAGGACUUUGGUACUAUUUUGUUGGUUUGCGUACCAAGGUAAUGAUUAAUAGGGAUAGUUGGGGGUAUUCGUAUUCAAUUGUCAGAGGUGAAAUUCUUGGAUUUAUGGAAGACGAACAACUGCGAAAGCAUUUACCAAGGAUGUUUUCAUUAA